CAUGAAGGGGAAGUACCUGGGGCCAGGUGACCCGAGUCACCUGACCAGCUUCUUAGCCCACUUAGCCCAACCCGCAGGCUAGCAGAUUAGGCGCCCAAAAAGAACGUGCAGCUUAUGCUACAUAUCCUUGUAGAUGGGCUUAUGGGGGCCCAUCAGAAAGACUAGAGAGAGAAGAAAUCGAUCCCAACCCAAUAGUAAUCGCGGGCCUAACUAAGGAAAAACUGGAGCAAACUGUGGAGCCGUAAGGCCCAAAGGCAGCGUGUGUGCAGGGGCUCGUCCCAAGCCGCACGUUCUUC
rnacentral:lncRNA from 1 species